UACGGUUACAGCUUGGUGUCAG
rnacentral:piRNA from 1 species